rnacentral:misc_RNA from 1 species
AGUUCAAAGGUGAGAUUGAACUUAAAAACGCCAGUCUAAAAAGGGAUCACGAUGUCGGUUGGCUCUGUCAUUUAAUAAUUCUAUCGAGUAGCACAUGAUGUGGUACUUACGCCACCAUAUGAAAGCGAACGGUGGGUACGUUUGACCGUGGCAGUCUAAACGGCUUCCAAUACUAAUUCCAGUAAUUCCUCUUCACGGGCCAUCCUCGUUUCCCAUCUAAUCGGUCAGAUCUCUGGGAACGGUCGAAAAGGUCUUGGAAAAAAAGGAAAAGAAGCAACAGGUAUGCCUGGAGACGGUAAGAGCGAGUACAAAAGCGACGACAGAUAAUCCGAUGCGACUGUGUACGAGUCAAAGAUCUCGUAUUGGAUCGGAAUAGGCACGUACAUAUAUACCUAACUUGGAAGGCAUCUAAUGCGGUUAAGGAAUUUCAGUCUGCUGUCGGGAGCCACCGAUGGAUUGGGCUGCGGAUAAUCUCGACAAAAACAAGAUUACACGUUUACGAGAUCAAUUGGAAGACCAAGGUGACUAAAAGGACUGGAAACGUGUCGAAGGAAACUGCGGCAAAAUCGGAUUCCUGGCAUGGUCGACCUGAUUCUGCGACUGAGUCCAACGUGUCCGAAGCCAGGGAAUGCAAAGUCUCGCGGUUAACCUGGAUAUAUCUGCGCAUCCAAGCCAAACUAGGAUCCUGGACUUACCCAGAUCUAAGUCAAAGAAACGAUCAACAUGAGAAACCGGUUGAAACUAAUCCAGAACAGUACGCUUGCGUGUCUUAAAAAAGUGAUGAUUCCUGAUUACAUGAUGCUGAUGCAACAAUUCUAUCAUAUUUCCAGUCGAUUCUCUGCGCAACUGACUUAAAUCCUGAGCACGAAAAUUAUAAGACUCCUUGACAACGUACUAUGCUCUUGUGGGACGUGUAUCUCCUCUUAAAAGUUCUGAAAAGUUCACGUAAUUCGAUAUAUUAAUACAUUUUCAAAUAAAAUAUUCCUUGCUAAUUUCAAACUAAAUUUUCUAUAUUUCAAAUUACAUUUCCAAAGCCAUAAACCUUUCAAAAAUCUACGUUACGAAGCUAUAUUUCCAAAAUCAUCAAUUUUAAGAGAAUCUAUAUUACAAAUCUACAUUUCCGGAAUUGCCAGUUUUUAAAUAUUUCUAAAAAUAUUUGUUAACUCGAAAGAAGAUUCUAUUUGUAAAUAUUAGUCUAACUCUUUUGAAAGAUGAUCAAGAUUUGUCAAAUCAAAGGAUGUCAACAACG